AUUCCGUUAAAUCUACCCAACCGUACAUGGUGCUGAAACGUUUACAUUCGCAAACAUGCUACCGUUCUAAGAAACAGAUAAUUCUGAUCACGUAUCAAUAACUAAUAUCGAUUACAUUUUCAAAGUUAAUUUUUUUCCAAAAGAAUAAAAAUUUACAGGACGAAGGGGCGUGGCUUAUGCGCACAUUUUCAACGUCUCUAUUCCCCGCCUCCUGCGUAAUGACACAAUAAUGGCUGCUUCUUGAGACGGAUUGUCAUGCUGGAAAUCGUGCUGUUUCGUCUUUGAAUCGUUGUCAUUGGUGCCUACGUUUUACAGUUUUGCGACCAGUCAUGCCAAGAUACGAGCUUACUUUGAUACUGAAGGCGAUGCAGAGGCCUGAGACCGUUGCCACUCUUCGGCGUACGGUGGAGACCUUGAUUGAGAGGGGCGCUGUUGUUCGAGGACUGGAGAACCUGGGCGAGAGAGCAUUGCCCUACAAGAUCUCAAAGCAUGGCAUCCGCCACACGCGGGGCGGCUAUUUUUUGCUAGAUUUUCACUCCCAGUCUGAAAUUCUACCGGCUUUCCUGGAUCAUCUGAAGCGCGACGUUGAUGUGGUGCGGCCCACAGUUUUGAGCAAAGAGACGGCCGCGGCAAACACUCGCUGCUGUGUCCCACAGCCCGAAAAACCCAAGGACGCGCUCCCACGACGCAAAUGAAUGGACCUGCGAAUCUCUCGGUACGUUUUAACUGUCAGGCCUCUGCGUCAUUUUGGAAUCCACCAAAAGACCUGUGACAAACUUGGAAGGCUACCCUCCAGAGUUGAACUUUUCUUCUGCAAUUUUGUAAAUAUGUCAACAUAAUAAACGCCACUUUAUAUAUCUUGGA